AUGUCUCACGUCGCAGACUUUUCUUUGCAGGCCAACGAAACCCCGUGCACCAUAUUUUACACCAUCAGCGACCAGAAGGUGGCCGUGGGGAAGGCGACGAUAAUGAAGCCGAAGGAACCAUUGUUCCACAGCCGGCCGAUCCCUCCAAACGUCUUCAAGGUUUCCAGGGCCAGUGUCGAACUGGGCCACGAGAAUUUGCCUCCUCCAACACUACUGGUGGAUGACGAGGAGACACCGCGGCGGCUUGGUGAUUGUUGCAAUGGGUGGGUCCUGUUGUGGCCAAAGAGUCUGCUUCGUCUAGAGGCGGCCGGGAGCACACCCACGAGCACGCAGCCUCAACAAGGUAUGAACAUCAACACCCCACCUACCCAAUUAGCGUCGGGUGUCGGGUUGGGUGAUAGCGGACGGGGUAAGGAGGAGGCUCCAUUAGUCACUGAUGACAUCGCCAUGGAUGAGGAUGAGGAUGACGAUGGCGCUGAAUAG
rnacentral:rRNA from 1 species